rnacentral:rRNA from 1 species
UACGGAGGGUGCAAGCGUUGUCCGGAUUUAUUGGGUUUAAAGGGUGCGUAGGCGGCCCUGUAAGUCAGUGCUGAAAUAUCCCAGCUUAACUGGGAGGGUGGCAUUGAUACUGCGGGGCUAGAGUACAGAUGAGGUAGGCGGAAUGACGGUGUAGCGGUGAAAUGCUUAGAUAUCGUCAAGAACACCUAUAGCGAAGGCAGCUUACUAGGCUGUAACUGACGCUGAGGCACGAAAGUGUGGGGAUCAAACAGG